rnacentral:rRNA from 1 species
AUAAAUAAAUAAACACCUGAACACACCCGAUCCCAUCUGAUCUUGGAAGCUAAGCAGGGUCAGGCCUGGUUAGUACUUGGAGGGGAGACCACCUAGGAAGACCAGGUGCUGUAGACU